rnacentral:lncRNA from 1 species
CAGGGGCAAUUGAGUUCAGAGACAUUUUGAACCAUUCCUGAAGAAGCAGAAGCAGGGGAGAAGUGGAUGAUGGAGUAGCUGCAGUAGCAGCCUUAAGGCUCCUGUGUCUCCAUUAGGGGAAAAGUGCAUCACACAUCAGUGUCUCUUCUGCUUAUCUGCUGCAGUGAGGAUGGGAGAGAAUGUGUGGGCAUGAGCAUGUGGACCCAGAGACUUCUCUGCAGAGAUCCUGGUCAGAGCUCCUGAGAUGUCAGAAAUUCGUCCUCCCACCCCACUGGGUGCCAGGCUUGGU